rnacentral:rRNA from 1 species
GACGAACCGUGCGAACGUUAUUCGGAAUCACUGGGCUUAAAGGGCGCGUAGACGGGCGACCGCGUCGAUGGCUGAAAGCCCCCGGCUCAACCGGGGAACGGGCCUCGAUACGGGUCGUCUCGAGUGGAGGAGGGGGACCUAGAACUGCCGGUGGAGCGGUGAAAUGCGUUGAGAUCGGCAGGAACGCCUGUGGCGAAAGCGAGGUCCUGGACUCCGACUGACGUUGAGGCGCGAAAGCCAGGGGAGCGAACGGG